rnacentral:rRNA from 1 species
AUUGAACGCUGGCGGCAUGCCUUACACAUGCAAGUCGAACGGUAACAGGUUAAGCUGACGAGUGGCGAACGGGUGAGUAAUGUAUCGGAACGUGCCCAGUCGUGGGGGAUAACUACUCGAAAGAGUGGCUAAUACCGCAUACGACCUGAGGGUGAAAGCGGGGGACCGUAAGGCCUCGCGCGAUUGGAGCGGCCGAUAUCAGAUUAGCUAGUUGGUGGGGUAAAAGCCCACCAAGGCGACGGUCUGUAGCUGGUCUGAGAGGACGACCAGCCACACUGGGGCUGAGACACGGCCCAGACUCCUACGGGAGGCAGCAGUGGGGAAUUUUGGACAAUGGACGCAAGUCUGCUCCAGCCAUGCCGCGUGCGGGGAGAAGGCCUUCGGGUUGUAAACCGCUUUUGUCAGGGAAGAAACGAGUUUCUCUAAUACAGAGACUUAAUGACGGUACCUGAAGAAUAAGCACCGGCUAACUACGUGCCAGCCGCCGCAGUAAAAC